GAUGAACGCUAGCUACAGGCUUAACACAUGCAAGUCGAGGGGAAACGACAUCGAAAGCUUGCUUUUGAUGGGCGUCGACCGGCGCACGGGUGAGUAACGCGUAUCCAACCUGCCCACCACUUGGGGAUAACCUUGCGAAAGUAAGACUAAUACCCAAUGACGUCUCUAGAAGACAUCUGAAAGAGAUUAAAGAUUUAUCGGUGAUGGAUGGGGAUGCGUCUGAUUAGCUUGUUGGCGGGGUAACGGCCCACCAAGGCGACGAUCAGUAGGGGUUCUGAGAGGAAGGUCCCCCACAUUGGAACUGAGACACGGUCCAAACUCCUACGGGAGGCAGCAGUGAGGAAUAUUGGUCAAUGGACGAGAGUCUGAACCAGCCAAGUAGCGUGCAGGAUGACGGCCCUAUGGGUUGUAAACUGCUUUUAUAAGGGAAUAAAGUGAGUCUCGAGAGACUUUUUGCAUGUACCUUAUGAAUAAGGACCGGCUAAUUCCGUG
rnacentral:rRNA from 1 species